GUCUUCCAGCCCUUUCCAGAUCCUUUUUAAGGAGUCUGUAUUUGUUUUGCCACAGAACCGAGAAGACCCUUAAGGCAUUGGAUCAAACUGCUGACAGUGAGCUCUUCCUUGUUGCAAGAAAUAAGUCAUCUCUUCUUCCUUAUUGCAAGAAGUGUGGAUUUCAUUCAAACCCUCUGUGUGCCUUCCAGGACUGUUGGAUUAUUUUCUCUAAGGAUAAGAGAAAGAACAGUUUUAGCCUGCAGCUUCUCCAUGAUGGUGAUGGAAUUCAGGAAGAACAAGGUCAUUUUUCUCUGCUGUUGAUGGCAAGGUCCCCUGCUUCAGAACCUGAAGGAAUGACAAAUGAAAGGAUCUUCUCCUUCCCUGUAAGCUUUACAAAUCAGAAAUGACAUGCCCUUCCUAGAGUGUGGUGCUUGUGUAAAUAUGAUUUUACAAUUUCUGAAAGGUAUGGUUUUUUGAUCUGAUAGAAUAUUUUGGGAGGUCAGAAUCAUGUGGGGGAGGGAACCUUUUCAAAUAGGUGAGUGUAUACACACACACACACACACACACCCCUAUACAUACAUACUGGUUUAACAGUUUACCAUUAAACUAUAUCUAAACCCUGCAUAUUUCUAAUGUGAAAAUAUCCAAGAGGACAGGUAAUUGAGGACAUGGACUUUGAAUUGAAACAGACUUUCAAGUUCUGGCUCUUGGCCUCAGUUUCUUCAUCCAUUCCUCACCCAAAUGCAGAAUAUAUGUUGUGAGGGUGAAAUGAGAAGCUCUAAGCUUAGCACUGAGCACAUGUUUGGUACAAGGUAGGUCAAUAAUUGGAAAUCAUUAUCACUCUCUACACAGAAUGCUUCAUCACCUACCUAGAUGUCCUUCAGAAAAGUAAGGCCAGCUGAACCAUGAUAGAACGCUGGGCCCACUCUCUGCUCUGUAUUACAAUGGAAGGGCUGUGCACGUGAGGAUGGAUUGGUCCCACAGUGUAUCCAAAUCUGUAGGACAAUAAUGUAUAACAGGGCUUCACUUGCUUUGCUCACUUCUCUGCUCUUCUGGGAGACCCCCAGAAAGAACUGAAUGGGCUUUCUGUCCAGUUUAUUUGAUUAGUAACAAAAAUCUCUGCUUCAUCAAUGGUCAUUGGAAAGGAGAAGAGUUUAAGGAGGGAGUAUUUUAUAGGGAAAAAGAUGACAGUCCCAGGGCCAAGCAUUUCUAACAUGGCUCUUUGUUACUCUUGGCUGUUGAAUCCUAGGGAAGUCAAAUCCUUUGGGCAAGUAGCUUAACCUCAUUGUGUCCUAGUUUCCUUCUCUGUGAAUGGGAAUAAUAAUAUAGGUAGAGUGUUGGGGCGCCUGGGUGGCUCAGUGGGUUAAAGCCUCCGCCUUUGGCUCAGGUCAUGAUCCCAGGGUCCUGGGAUCGAGCCCUGCAUUGGGCUCUCUGCUUGGCAGGAAGUCUGCUUCUCUUUCUCUCUCUCUGCCUGCCUCUCUGCCUACUUGUGAUCUCUGACUGUCAAAUAAAUAAAUAAAUCUUUUAAAAAAAUAAUAUAGGUAGUGUGAUGAUGAUGAUGAUGAUGAUGAUGAUGCUGACGAUGUUGUAGAAAAACUAGUGCAAUAACAACAAGGUAAAAAUUGCCACCUGAAAUUUUCUGAGUGCUUCCUAUGGAGCAAACACAGUUUUGAGGAAUUGACACAUGUGAGCUCAUUUAAUCCUCACACUAUGAAAUGAGUGAAUAUACAAAAGGUCCUCAAAGCAAGACGGGACCCAUGCAAGGGCUUUUUAAUUGUUAGCUGUGAUUCUGAGUAACUACUAAAGAAUAAUCCAUGUGAUUAAACCCAUUUCCCUCAGGGCACCUGGGUGUCUCAGUUGUUACACGUCUGUCUUCAGCUCAGGUCAUGAUCCCAGGAUCCUGGGAUCGAGCCCAGCAUGGGAUUUCCUGUUCUUCGGAGAAGCCUGCUUCUCUUUUUCCCACUCCCCCUGCUUGUGUUCCCUCUCUUGCUGCCUCUUUCUCUGUCAAAUAAAUAAAAACAAAUAUUUUUUUAAAUAAAUAAACGCAUUUCCCAUUCUAACGGGCACUUGUCUCCCCAUAUUUCGUCUUAUACACUGUGCUUCCAUCAACAUCACUGUACAUGUCUCCUGUGAACAUGGGCAAGAGCUUCUGGGUGACAAAC
ensembl:lincRNA